GACGAACGCUGGCGGCGUGCCUAAUACAUGCAAGUAGAACGCACAGUUUAUACCGUAGCUUGCUACACCAUAGACUGUGAGUUGCGAACGGGUGAGUAACGCGUAGGUAACCUGCCUGGUAGCGGGGGAUAACUAUUGGAAACGAUAGCUAAUACCGCAUAAUAUUGAUUAUUGCAUGAUAAUUGAUUGAAAGAUGCUAUUGCAUCACUACCAGAUGGACCUGCGUUGUAUUAGCUAGUAGGUGAGGUAACGGCUCACCUAGGCGACGAUACAUAGCCGACCUGAGAGGGUGAUCGGCCACACUGGGACUGAGACACGGCAGACUCCUACGGGAGGCAGCAGUAGGGAAUCUUCGGCAAUGGACGAAAGUCUGACCGAGCAACGCCGCGUGAGUGAAGAAGGUUUUCGGAUCGUAAAGCUCUGUUGUAAGAGAAGAACGGGUGUGAGAGUGGAAAGUUCACACUGUGACGGUAUCUUACCAGAAAGGGACGGCUAACUACGUG
rnacentral:rRNA from 1 species